rnacentral:misc_RNA from 1 species
UGGCUCUCGCAUCGAUGAAGAACGCAGCGAAUUGCGAUAUGUUAAUGUGAAACGCAGAACAGUGAAUCAUCGAGACUUUGAACGCACCUUGCGCUCUCUGGUCUUCCAGAGAGCAUGCCUGUCUGAGUGUCGCUAAACCUCCAUAGGCCGAAAGGUCUGAUUCGGAUGCGUGCCGUGGUUGGCUCCGUCUAAGAUGAAAUUGGAACGUGGCUCAGGUCGCGCCUUCCGGGGACAUUUGAUCGUAACUACCUUCAUGCGUCUCCAAAGGAAGAUGUCGGCUUUGUGCUCCUCACUUCAGAGUGCUCUCGCGGCGCUGAAGUGUGCCUUUACUAGUGACGUGGCCUCAGAUCAGGUAGGACUACCCGCUGA